GAAAUGCGAUAAGUAAUGUGAAUUGCAGAAUUCCGUGAAUCAUCGAAUCUUUGAACGCACAUUGCGCCCCCUGGCAUUCCGGGGGGCAUGCCUGUCCGAGCGUCAUUACGCACCCUCAAGCCCGGCUUGUGUGAUGGGCCCCGGCGUCUCGUUCGCGAGACGGGCCCGAAAGGCAGCGGCGGCGUCGACCCGAUGAGCCCGAGCGUAUGGGGACUUCUGUCACACGUUCGCGGUGCGGACCGGCGCCUGCUUGACUUUUCUGAUUAUCCAGGUUGACCUCGGAUCAGGUAGGGAUACCCGCUGAACUUAAGC
rnacentral:misc_RNA from 1 species